rnacentral:rRNA from 1 species
CAGCCGCCGCGGUAAUACGGAGGGUGCAAGCGUUAAUCGGAAUUACUGGGCGUAAAGCGUGCGUAGGCGGUGAGUUAAGUCUGCUGUGAAAUCCCCGGGCUCAACCUGGGAAUGGCAGUGGAUACUGGCUCGCUAGAGUGUGUCAGAGGAUGGUGGAAUUCCCGGUGUAGCGGUGAAAUGCGUAGAGAUCGGGAGGAACAUCAGUGGCGAAGGCGGCCAUCUGGGACAACACUGACGCUGAGGCACGAAAGCGUGGGGAGCAAACAGGAUUAGAGACCCUGUAGUCCCUGUCUCUUAUACA